UUAAGUUGCAGCGUUCUGUUUAGCUCUUAUUCUGAGGUAAAGCAGUCAAAUUUAUGCUUUCGGGUUCAGGUGGGCUAGUUUAUCUAGCAUUAGCCAUAAAUUUAUGUUAAUGUAACAUGGUAGCAAACCUCUGCUAGCAAGAAACUUUUCAAGCUGAAGUGCUGAGUACAUCGAGUCCAGAACUUGAGCCACUUGACCAAGUGAAGAGGAUAACGCAAAACCUAACAGGCUCGCACUACAGAUCAGUAAUGUAGCAGAUCUUGACAUCCAGACAAGUUCAUUUUGAGCCUCAGACACAGAUGUUGAGGCAAGCAGUGUGUCUGGCCAUGGAAUGACUGAUCAUGAGGAGCAUCGAGAAUUGUACAGGAUUCUUGACACAUUAAGACAG